GCCGAGCGAUUAGGUUAUUGGC
rnacentral:siRNA from 1 species